rnacentral:tRNA from 2 species
UGAUACUUAGUUUAAAAUAAAACAAGUGAUUUCGACCCACUAAACUGUGACUUAAGCCCACAAGUAUCAA